UUUCAGAGAUGAGAAUGUGCCUUCGGGAACCGUGAGACAGGUGCUGCUAUGGCUGUCGUCAGCUCGUGUUGUGAAAUGUUGGGUUAAGUCCCGCAACGAGCGCAACCCUUAUCCUUUGUUGCCAGCGGUCCGGCCGGGAACUCAAAGGAGACUGCCAGUGAUAAACUGGAGGAAGUGGGAUGACGUCAAGUCAUCAUGGCCCUUACGACCAGGGCUACACACGUGCUACAAUGGCGCAUACAAAGAGAAGCGACCUCGCGAGAGCAAGCGGACCUCAUAAAGUGCGUCGUAGUCCGGAUUGGAGUCUGCAACUCGACUCCAUGAAGUCGGAAUCGCUAGUAAUCGUGGAUCAGAAUGCCACGGUGAAUACGUUCCCGGGCCUU
rnacentral:rRNA from 1 species